GCCCAUUUGGCUCAGUGGAGAGAGCAUCAGACUGAAAGGUACCAGGUUCAAUUCCGGUCAAGUGCA
rnacentral:tRNA from 1 species